UACGUAGGGUGCAAGCGUUAAUCGGAAUUACUGGGCGUAAAGCGUGCGCAGGCGGUUCGGAAAGAAAGAUGUGAAAUCCCAGGGCUUAACCUUGGAACUGCAUUUUUUAACUACCGGGCUAGAGUGUGUCAGAGGGGGGGUGGAAUUCCACGUGUAGCAGUGAAAUGCGUAGAUAUGUGGAGGAACACCGAUGGCGGAAGGCAGCCCCCUGGGAUAACACUGACGCCUCAUGCACGAAAGCGUGGGGAGCAAACAGG
rnacentral:rRNA from 1 species